rnacentral:rRNA from 1 species
GGCCCGCACAAGCGGUGGAGCAUGUGGUUUAAUUCGAUGAUACGCGAGGAACCUUACCAGGGCUUAAAUGUAGUAUGACCGGCUUGGAAACAGGCCUUCUCUUCGGAGCAGAUUACAAGGUGCUGCAUGGUUGUCGUCAGCUCGUGCCGUGAGGUGUUAGGUUAAGUCCUGCAACGAGCGCAACCCCUAUUCUUAGUUGCCAGCGGUUCGGCCGGGGACUCUAAGAAGACUGCCAGCGCAAGCUGAGAGGAAGUGGGAUGACGUCAAAUCAUCACGGCCCUUACGUCCUGGGCUACACACGUGCUACAAUGGUAGAGACAGAGGGCAGCCACCUGGUGACAGGGAGCGAAUCCUUAAACUCUAUCUCAGUUCGGA